UUAAAUAUGUUUACAUUUUCUAGAAUGUUCCUGUGAUCUUUGUUCAACCCACUGGAUUGGAUUUGGAAAUAGCUCUUAUCUUCUUUCCAAUAAAUCCAAAACCCGGGCGGAGAGCCAUGCUGCCUGUGCAGAGCUGAAUUCUCACCUUCUAAAGAUCGGUAUCAAGGAAGAGCUGAUUCUUGGAAAUGGAGAACCAUGGUUGUCCACAUAUUGAAGGAAAUUAUGUUUAUGCUUGUAACUGUUCAUCUGGGAAAACUUACGUCUCUAUAGCAGGCCUCUUUUAUGAGAGUAACCUGACCUCCCCACUAAAGGAUGCACAACUUUCUGGCCAACAGAAGGUAUGUGUCCCUCCUCUCCUGUCUCUCUACUAGACCACCUCACUUAGUGGGAAAUAACAAAUGUUAAAUGUAAUGCAAGUGAGGUACAAUUAAUAUACAACAAAAUCAAAGUAGAAUAUUGGUGUUUUUUUAAAAUAAUUCAGGGUAAAAAGCAACCAUAAAACAUGAAAUAUGUUGGAAGAUUUCUCAAAGUAUUCAAUUUAUUGUCUGUAGGAAGUUAGUUGCAUAUGCACUUGCAUAUUUGGGUUUAUAAAUCAAUAUAAUAUUAAGUGAAACCCACAGACAUCAUGACAGGGAAGAAUUAGUUUGGGAUUUUAUAAUCAGUAGAAGGUGGGUUUUUUGUAUAAUAGUAUGUUAAUAUAUAUUUUGCUCAACCUUUAUAAAUAGAUUCUUGGAAAGGAAUUCAUUGCAUAACAAAAGCCAAACAUAAUUCCUCAUACGUGUACUUAGACUCAAUAAAAGCAGCCUGAUUUUAUAACAAAAAUCAGGAUGAGGUAGCUUCCUAAAUGCUAAUUUAAACUUAAUUGUAAGUAAUGAAAGAAUUUUUUAAAAAAUUGAAC